rnacentral:rRNA from 1 species
GUGCCAGCAGCCGCGGUAAUACGGAGGGUGCAAACGUUGCUCGGAAUUAUUGGGCGUAAAGCGAACGUAGGCGGUCCGGUAAGUCGGUUGUGAAAGCCCUCGGCUUAACCGAGGAAGUGCAUCCGAAACUGCUGGACUUGAGUACGGUAGAGGGUCGCGGAAUUCCCGGUGUAGAGGUGAAAUUCGUAGAUAUCGGGAGGAACACCAGUGGCGAAGGCGGCGACCUGGGCCGAUACUGACGCUGAGGUUCGAAAGCGUGGGGAGCAAACAGGAUUAGAUACCCUGGUAGUCC